rnacentral:rRNA from 1 species
GAUGAACGCUGGCGGCGUGCCUAAUACAUGCAAGUCGAGCGGACUUUCAAGAAGCUUGCUUCUUUGAUGUUAGCGGCGGACGGGUGAGUAACACGUGGACAACCUGCCUACAAGACUGGGAUAACUUCGGGAAACCGGAGCUAAUACCGGAUGAUAUCUUCCUUCGCAUGAUUCAAGGUUGAAAGACGGCCUUGCUUUCCCUUAUCAAUUGAUCCGCGCUGCCUUUGCUUGGUGGUAAGGUAACGGCUUACCAAGGCAAGGAUGCAUAGCCGACCUGAGAGGGGGAUCGGCCAAACUGGAACUGAAAAAGGGUCAGAACUCCUAAGGAAGGAAGAAGAAGGGAAUCUUCGGAAAGGGGGGAAGGCCGGACGGAGAAAGGCGGGGGAGGUGAGGAGGGUUUUGGAAUGGAAAGACUUUGUGAUAAGGGAGAAAAAGAAGUGUAAGAAAAGGGGGACAUCUUGACGGUACCUAAUCAGAAAGCCACGGCUAACUACGUG